rnacentral:tRNA from 1 species
GCCGGCGUAGCUCAGCGGUAGAGCAACUGAUUCGUAAUCAGUAGGUCCGGGGUUCAAAUCCCCGCGCCGGCU